rnacentral:hammerhead_ribozyme from 1 species
AUCCAGCUCACGAGUCCAAAAUAGGACGAAACGCGCAUCCUGGAU